rnacentral:rRNA from 1 species
GCUUUUGAUGAAUUCAACCUGAAUGCGCCUAAUUUCGUAAGACCUCAGAAGCUAAGUGACGUGGAGUCUGGUUAGUACUUGGAUGUGAGAGACCGCCAGGGAAUACAAGAUGUUGUAGACU